GACGUAGGGUGCGAGCGUUGUCCGGAUUUAUUGGGCGUAAAGAGCUCGUAGGCGGCUCGUCGCGUCAGCUGUGAAAACCCGCAGCUUAACUGUGGGCUUGCAGCUGAUAUGGGCGGGCUAGAGUUCGGUAGGGGAGACUGGAAUUCCUGGUGUAGCGGUGAAAUGCGCAGAUAUCAGGAGGAACACCGGUGGCGAAGGCGGGUCUCUGGGCCGAUACUGACGCUGAGGAGCGAAAGCGUGGGGAGCGAACAGG
rnacentral:rRNA from 1 species